GCCUUCUUAGCUCAGUGGUAGAGCGUUGCACUUGUACACACGUGACAUAUGCAAAGGUCAGUCGUUCAAUCCGGCUAGGAGGCA
rnacentral:tRNA from 1 species